UCCGGUUUGUCACCGGCAGUCUCCCGUGAGUCCCCGCCAUAACGUGCUGGCAACAUGAGACAAGGGUUGCGCUCGUUGCGGGACUUAACCCAACAUCUCACGACACGAGCUGACGACAGCCAUGCACCACCUGCACACAGGCCACAAGGGAACCGACAUCUCUGCCGGCGUCCUGUGCAUGUCAAACCCAGGUAAGGUUCUUCGCGUUGCAUCGAAUUAAUCCACAUGCUCCGCCGCUUGUGCGGGCCCCCGUCAAUUUCUUUGAGUUUUAGCCUUGCGGCCGUACUCCCCAGGCGGGGUACUUAAUGCGUUAGCUACGGCACGGAUCCCAAGGAAGGAAACCCACACCUAGCGCCCACCGUUUACAGCAUGGACUAC
rnacentral:misc_RNA from 1 species